rnacentral:rRNA from 1 species
UACGAAGGGUCCUAGCGUUGUUCGGAAUCAUUGGGCGUAAAGAGCACGUAGGUGGCCUAGUAAGUCAGGUGUGAAAUCCCAGGGCUCAACCCCGGAACUGCGCCCGAAACUGGCGAGCUUGAGUGCGGGAGAGGGAAGCGGAAUUCCUGGUGUAGAGGUGAAAUUCGUAGAUAUCAGGAGGAACACCGGUGGCGAAAGCGGCUUCCUGGCCCGACACUGACGCUCAUGUACGAAAGCGUGGGGAGCAAACAGG